rnacentral:rRNA from 1 species
GAGUUUGAUCCUGGCUCAGAUUGAACGCUGGCGGCAUGCUUUACACAUGCAAGUCGAACGGCAGCACGGAAGAGCUUGCUCUUUUGGUGGCGAGUGGCGAACGGGUGAGUAACGCAUCGGAACGUACCGAGUAGUGGGGGAUAACUGUCCGAAAGGAUGGCUAAUACCGCAUAUUCUCUGAGGAGGAAAGCAGGGGACCUUCGGGCCUUGCGCUAUUUGAGCGGCCGAUGUCUGAUUAGCUAGUUGGUGGGGUAAAGGCCUACCAAGGCGACGAUCAGUAGCGGGUCUGAGAGGAUGAUCCGCCACACUGGGACUGAGACACGGCCCAGACUCCUACGGGAGGCAGCAGUGGGGAAUUUUGGACAAUGGGGGGAACCCUGAUCCAGCCAUGCCGCGUGUCUGAAGAAGGCCUUCGGGUUGUAAAGGACUUUUGUCAGGGAAGAAAAGCUUGAGAUUAAUACCCUUGAGUGAUGANCGUACCUAA